rnacentral:rRNA from 1 species
UACGUAGGUGGCAAGCGUUAUCCGGAUUUACUGGGUGUAAAGGGCGUGUAGGCGGGUUUGCAAGUUGGAUGUGAAAUCCUCAGGCUUAACCUGAGAGGGUCAUCCAAAACUGCAGAUCUUGAGUACUGGAGAGGAUAGUGGAAUUCCUAGUGUAGCGGUAAAAUGCGUAGAUAUUAGGAGGAACACCAGUGGCGAAGGCGACUAUCUGGACAGUAACUGACGCUGAGGCGCGAAAGCGUGGGGAGCAAACAGGAUUAGAUACCCCGGUA